rnacentral:rRNA from 1 species
UGGGGAAUAUUGCGCAAUGGGCGCAAGCCUGAUGCAGCCAUGCCGCGUGUGUGAAGAAGGCCUUCGGGUUGUAAAGCACUUUCAGCGAGGAGGAAGGUGGUGAGCUUAAUACGCUCAUCAAUUGACGUUACUCGCAGAAGAAGCACCGGCUAACUCCGUGCCAGCAGCCGCGGUAAUACGGAGGGUGCAAGCGUUAAUCGGAAUUACUGGGCGUAAAGCGCACGCAGGCGGUUUGUUAAGUCAGAUGUGAAAUCCCCGGGCUCAACCUGGGAACUGCAUUUGAAACUGGCAAGCUAGAGUCUCGUAGAGGGGGGUAGAAUUCCAGGUGUAGCGGUGAAAUGCGUAGAGAUCUGGAGGAAUACCGGUGGCGAAGGCGGCCCCCUGGACGAAGACUGACGCUCAGGUGCGAAAGCGUGGGGCAGCAAACAGGAUUAGAUACCCUGGUAGUCCACGCUGUAAAACGAUGUCGAUUUUGGAGGUUGUG